GGCUGAUCCAAGUGCAGUGGUGUUUACAACUAAUGGAUCACAACCAGUUACAGAUUUCUUUGUUCCUUCUCCACUCCCACUGCUUCACUUGAUUAGCCAAAA
rnacentral:Y_RNA from 1 species